UCUAACAAUGAAAAACCAAAACUACACCACAGAUCCAGCUCUGGACCUGAGUGUGACUAACAGGAAAAUCUGUCUGCAGCGCUACAAGGAAUAAUUAAGCUGUAAAUUUCAUCUUUGUUUGCCAGUGUCUGAACUCCAAUAAUUAUACGUCGUAGCAGCUGAUUACCAGUAACUUUAAGGAGAUCUGCCUGCUGUGUUUUGUCUCCAGUUCUCCUUUGUUCUCCAGAUACUUUGAAAUGCAUUUCUGGGACUGGCGGGUAAGAGAGCUAACUUUCAGUAUUAUUUAGGCACAGUACAUGUGUAAAAUUAGAGCUUAGUUUUAAUCACACAUCUGUA
rnacentral:lncRNA from 1 species